AGAAUCAACGCUGGCGGCGUGCCUAACACAUGCAAGUCGAACGAGAAAGGGUAGCAAUACCUGAGUAAAGUGGCGCACGGGUGAGUAACACGUGACUAACCUACCUUUUAGUGGGGGAUAACCUAGGGAAACCUGAGCUAAUACCGCAUAAUACCUACGGGUCAAAGCAGCAAUACGCUGGAAGAGGGGGUCGCGGUCGAUUAGUUAGUUGGCAGGGUAAUGGCCUACCAAGACAGUGAUCGAUAUCCGGCCUGAGAGGGCGCACGGACACACUGGAACUGAAACACGGUCCAGACUCCUACGGGAGGCAGCAGUGGGAAUUUGCGCAAUGGGGGAAACCCUGACGCAGCAACGCCGCGUGGAGGAUGAAGUCCCUUGGGACGUAAACUCCUUUCGAUCGGGACGAUAAUGACGGUACCGGAAGAAGAAGCCCCGGCUAACUUCGCGCCAGCACCGC
rnacentral:rRNA from 1 species